AUUUGUUUUUCCUAAUUGAGCUUCUGUGGAAAGGUGAUAUGGAGCUUGCUUUCUGAUAUUGACAAGAUACAGCUCCAGAGAAAUCGGGGCCAUUUGUUCCAAGUCGCAUGAACAUAAACGAGAAGACAUGGAGGGCAGGAGCUGACUAGAUGUAUUUU